rnacentral:lncRNA from 10 species
GUAAUUUCUUGAGCUGGCCACUGAGUGGCAGUGUUAACCCGGUACAGCUUGGUGCAGAGUUAAGGAGGAAGGGCUUGUGAAAUGCAAAAGGUGAGGGCAGAGUGCAACUGAUGCUUGGUGAGAUACUUAUAAUCCACUGUUUCUAUCCUGAAGAAGUAUCUGUCCCUGAAUGUAAAUCCUCAAGUUCAUCUGUUAGAAGUGAAGUGGAAAUGACACUCUGCUAGUCUGCUAG